rnacentral:rRNA from 1 species
UACGGAGGGUGCAAGCGUUAUCCGGAUUCACUGGGUUUAAAGGGUGCGUAGGUGGGCCCGUAAGUCAGUGGUGAAAUCUCCGAGCUUAACUCGGAAACUGCCAUUGAUACUAUAGGUCUUGAAUUAUCUGGAGGUUAGCGGAAUAUGUCAUGUAGCGGUGAAAUGCUUAGAUAUGACAUAGAACACCGAUUGCGAAGGCAGCUCACAAAACUGUAACUGACGCUGAGGCACGAAAGUGCGGGGAUCAAACAGG